AACCCUAAGAAAUACACUCUAAAAGUUUAGCUGUCUUAUUUUCCUUUGAUUCUUAGUAAAAAAUGAAGAACUUCCUUUGAAGAUUUCUGGUUUUCAUCAGUAAAAAUGGUUUGAAGUUAAAAAUUCUUCUUCUGGGAUCUAUUGGGUUGUUGUUGAUUGUUGUGUUUUGUUGCUGAAGCUUCUUGGUUCUUUUCUCCUUGACCUUUAUUUGGUCAUUUCUCUGUUUGUGUUUUCAAUUUCAAGGUAUGUAACAAUGUCUAUCCUAAAAAAAAUUAACUUUGAGUUUAAAAUUUGUGUUUGAAACCUGUUUUUCAUUUGGCUGAACUUUGCUUUUAGUUUUCGGAUCCUUGACUUUGUGAAUUUGAGGUUGAUUAAUGUCUAUAAACCCUGUGUUGAUAUUACCUUAAAUGGUUGUUGCAUUUGAUCAUGAAAUAUGAAAUAAUUGUGCUGUAUAUGUCAAUGUUUGAUGGCUGAAUCAGUAUGUCUAUAUACUAUGAAACUAUGUUCAAAACUCUCAUUUUGAUAGCAGCACUAAAGGAAAUGAAUCUGACCCUUUAAAUGGUCAGAUUCACUCCUUAAUUGUGCAUGGAUUCUUAACUCAUCUAGCAUAUGUCUAAGUUUGUUUCUCUUCCCCUUCUUUUCUUCUUUACUAAGAUGAGAACUUAGAGUAGGAUCAUGGUUUGGGAAGUCGUUGUUCGUUUGUGAGGAUGACCUUAAAACAUGGUCAGACUCAUAAACAACAUUGCUCUCCCUAUUACUCAUUCUUGCAUUAGGUUAUUUAUGAUUUAUUUGAUAAUAUUAUAGGUCCUUACAUUUG
rnacentral:lncRNA from 1 species